rnacentral:lncRNA from 1 species
GACGCAGCAAGAUGAUAUAACAAAAAGAGACACAGAUUCCUAGUGCUGCUGACAAGAAUGCAAGCAGACACAGAACACAUAGCGAAUGGACACAGAGAGUAGACAAUGGGGAGGGGUAGGGGGUGAAGGGAAGGGAAAUUAAAAAAAAUAAAUCUUUAAAAAAAUACAGCAUAAGAACUAUAAAAUAUGUGCUUGAGUGCUUUGGGAGCAAGAAGAAAAACCACCUAGCACAGCCUUGGGGCAACAGGAAGUCUUCCAAGUCAAGCAGACUUUGACCUUCACUGAAGACAGCAAUCAGCAAAACCCAGAGGAUACAAAGGUAAAUAAGCGUAAUCUGCCCUCAAGCUUGCUGUGGUCAAGUGCUUCUGUGUGUGUGCGUGUGUGUAUAAGGCCGCCUGGCCCUCCCCGGGGGACUGUGCUUGGAGCGCAGAGGCACAGCUCGCCACCACUGGGGACACACCAGCGCCAUCUGUGGCUCGGCUUUACUCCAGUCCAGCAGGGGUGGGAGCCAACGUCAGCUGAGCUGCGGGCUCCUGGAGCCUGCGCCAGGCCUUCCUCUGAGCCCGUUUCCUCACAACGCACCUGCCAGCAAUGCAGCGACUAAACGGAAAUGCACCUGUGAACUACAACACUUGCCACAGGUGUCCCCUGUGUUAGAGCAGAGCACUAAAGGUGUCCCUACUGACUGACUCAGCCAGCACCCCGGGUCCAUGAGCCUUGCGGGCGGGCAGUGUGACCUGAACAAAAUGAGGGAGGAAGAAGGGGAGGAGGGAGGAAGAGGGCAAGGGCCCGCGGGUGCCGGGAA